UACAGAGGUCUCAAGCGUUGUUCGGAUUCAUUGGGCGUAAAGAGCGUGUAGGCGGUUCGGUAAGUCCGCUGUGAAAGUCCAGGGCUCAACCCUGGAAUGCCGGUGGAUACUGUCGGGCUAGAGUCCGGAAGAGGCGAGUGGAAUUCCUGGUGUAGCGGUGGAAUGCGCAGAUAUCAGGAGGAACACCAAUAGCGAAGGCAGCUCGCUGGGACGUUACUGACACUAAGGCGCGAAAGCGUGGGGAGCGAACAGG
rnacentral:rRNA from 1 species